CACGGAGUUAGCCGGUGCUUAUUCAUAUGGUACCGUCAGUUGACCUGGAAAGGCCCUUUUUCGUCCCAUAUAAAAGAAGUUUACAAUCCAGAGGACCUUCAUCCUCCACGCGGCAUGGCUGGUUCAGACUUGCGUCCAUUGACCAAUAUUCCUUA
rnacentral:rRNA from 1 species